rnacentral:rRNA from 1 species
GCAAGUCGAGCGGACAGAAGGGAGCUUGCUCCCGGAUGUUAGCGGCGGACGGGUGAGUAACACGUGGGUAACCUGCCUGUAAGACUGGGAUAACUCCGGGAAACCGGAGCUAAUACCGGAUAGUUCCUUGAACCGCAUGGUUCAAGGAUGAAAGACGGUUUCGGCUGUCACUUACAGAUGGACCCGCGGCGCAUUAGCUAGUUGGUGAGGUAACGGCUCACCAAGGCGACGAUGCGUAGCCGACCUGAGAGGGUGAUCGGCCACACUGGGACUGAGACACGGCCCAGACUCCUACGGGAGGCAGCAGUAGGGAAUCUUCCGCAAUGGACGAAAGUCUGACGGAGCAACGCCGCGUGAGUGAUGAAGGUUUUCGGAUCGUAAAGCUCUGUUGUUAGGGAAGAACAAGUGCAAGAGUAACUGCUUGCACCUUGACGGUACCUAACCAGAAAGCCACGGCUAACUACGUGCCAGCAGCCGCGGUAAUACGUAGGUGGCAAGCGUUGUCCGGAAUUAUUGGGCGUAAAGGGCUCGCAGGCGGUUUCUUAAGUCUGAUGUGAAAGCCCCCGGCUCAACCGGGGAGGGUCAUUGGAAACUGGGAAACUUGAGUGCAGAAGAGGAGAGUGGAAUUCCACGUGUAGCGGUGAAAUGCGUAGAGAUGUGGAGGAACACCA